rnacentral:tRNA from 1 species
GCGUCCAUCGUCUAAUGGAUAGGACAGACGUCUUCUAAACCUCCGGUAUAGGUUCAAAUCCUAUUGGACGUA